ACUGCUCAGUAACACGUAGUCAACAUGCCCAGGGGACGUGGAUAACCUCGGGAAACUGAGGCUAAACCGCGACAGGCCAAGAUUUCUGGAAUGGAUCAUGGCUUAAAUCUAUAUGGCCCCUGGAUUGGACUGCGGCCGAUCAGGCUGUUGGUGAGGUAAUGGCCCACCAAGCCUGUAACCGGUACGGGCUCUGAGAGGAGGAGCCCGGAGAUGGGCACUUAGACAAGGGCCCAGGCCCUAUGGGGCGCAGCAGGCGCGAAACCUCUGCAAUAAGCGAAAGCUUGACAGGGUUACUCUGAGUGAUUUCCGCUAAGGAAGUCUUUUGGCACCUCUAAAAAUGGUGCAGAAUAAGGGGUGGGCAAGUCUGGUGUCAGCCGCCGCGGUAAUACCAGCACCCCGAGUGGUCGGGACGAUUAUUGGGCCUAAAGCAUCCGUAGCCGGUCCUGCAAGUCCUCCGUUAAAUCCACCCGCUCAACGGUUGGGCCGCGGGGGAUACUACAGGGCUAGGAGGCGGGAGAGGCAAGCGGUACUCGAUGGGUAGGGGUAAAAUCCACUGAUCCAUUGAAGACCACCAGUGGCGAAGGCGGCUUGCCAGAACGCGCUCGACGGUGAGGGAUGAAAGCUGGGGGAGCAAACCGGAUUAGAUACCCGGGUAGUCCCAGCUGUAAACGAUGCAGACUCGGUGAUGGGCUGGCUUCGUGCCAACCCGGUGCCGCAGGGAAGCCGUUAAGUCUGCCGCCUGGGGAGUACGGUCGCAAGACUGAAACUUAAAGGAAUUGGCGGGGGAGCAC
rnacentral:rRNA from 1 species